UUUUUGCCUUUCCUGUGGGAGUGACGUGGUCUUCUCCCGUCCAAAUAUUUCCCUCCACUUUAUUCUCCCUCCCUCGUUGUAGUACACACCACUUCGAGCAACGAAGAACGAUGAUCUGAUUCGGCGCCUCUCUCUCUCCUCUCCUUAGAGCAUCUUCAGCAGCCGGGAUAUCUCCGGCGAGGUCAAAGUGGAGAGCCGAUGUGCCCAAAACUGGUUUCCAGCAGCCUCGCCAUUUACUCCCAUCGCUACGACUCCUCGCCAUAGGGAGUGAGGUAUUUCCCGUUACUUCGCCUCUCUCUCUCUCUCUCUCUCUCUCUCUCUCUCUCUCUCUCUCUCUCUCCUUGCUUUCUUCGGAUCCGGCACCGAAAAAUGAAAUAGGAGUGUAUCAGGCAACACCCACAACCCAAACAGAUCUCGCCGUCGUUGGUCGUCAUCGUCGUCUAACACCCACAACCCAAAUCCAUUUCAGUCCAUGUUCACGAUUUCUGGUGGGUUUUUCGAUUUCCAGUGGGUUUAUUGAUUUGUAUUUGGUCGAGUUCCGAGACUGCCCUGCUUCUAGGCUUCAUCCAAAUGACUGCCCGGUCGAUCGGAUAUGCCCCUGGGCUUCAUCAAGAUUCGAAUUCUAGCCCCAUCGAUUAACACCUACUAUAGCAUCGAUUUUUGCCUAGCCUAAAAAUUAGAUUGUUAUACAGCUUAAUAAUUAAGCCUCAAAUCAUGCCAUCUAUAAAUACAGUUUUAUUGUGGGUGUAUCUCCAAACUUGGAGGGAUAAGUUAGAUUUUGAGUUACUUAUAAAAAAAUUUAAAAUAAUCUGUUUUCAGUUUGGUACAAGAUGGGUAGAAAAAGUUUGCAAGGGAGUGAAGAUAAUGGAGGUGGUUGUUCUCAAAUUCUUCUAAUACAACUGAGACCGGUGGAUAAUGGAGGUGGUUGUUAUUUGCCAUUUGUGUUUUUUGUUUUUUGUAUCUUCGCUUGUGUUAUUUUUGGGUUAUGCGCUUUCGCUUAUGUUAUUUGUGUUUUGUGUAUCUUUGGCUUAUGUUAUUUUUGGGGUUGUAUCUUUUUUGUGUUUUGUGUUUUGGAGGACUGGUGGUUUGUAAUCGUUUCACCUGUUAAAAGAGUUAGAGAGAAGGAGUAGGACUGUUGAAAGAUGUCACUUUGAGAGCUCUUUAAGAAACAAAUUCGUUGAAACUGAAAAUCAAAAGUGGGUCUGCCGACACCUCUUGGCUACCAAUUUUUUUCCCUUAACCUCUUUCUCUAACUAUAUCUCCACUUCUUUCUAUCUCAUAUAUGGCAAUUCUACUCCAUGGUUAGGUUUCGUUGAUGUACGAUCUCUAAUUUUUUCUUUUUAUUCAGCUUUUUGAAUUUCUAGAGUUCUCAUACAUCUGAUUCGUUUGGGGGCUAUACACAUGACACUCCUACUAUUUAGGCUUUCUUGUUUGUAUAAAGCGAUUUAAAAUAUACCAAGAUUAAAUGUAAAGCUGAUGUUGCUAAGGUUGUAGCAUUUUGGUUGGAGCUUGACAAGCAUAAGAAGUGGGGAGGGUUUGAAAUUGGGGGAAUUGAGUGCUUAUCACCUGGUAAUGCUUUGGUGUUUGCCUCCUGCAGGUUCCAAGGAACAACAAAAGAGCCAUACCAUGUGAACUGAAUGAAGCAAAAAGAUGGACUCAAUGUUAAAGCACAUGUGAAACACGCAACAAAUUCAGGAAAUAUUUUUCCCAAGGGCUAAUGUAAGGUAUUACUUCUGAUUUGGCUAACAAGAAAAAAAAAUUCACUUUGGAAUUACUGCCAAGCAAAUAAACAUUUAUGUCAUCGCAAUUGCGGUUCAUCCAUGGGUGAGUAGAUCAGCAGAUUACUUGGAGUAUUGUACGCUAUGUUCUUUGUCAUAUUCUACUUCACUCCACCCCUUUCAUUUACAUGUUGAGUAUUUCAUAUUUGAGAAUAGGUCUGAUGGGGGAAAAAAUUAAGAUAAUUUUUGGUGAUAGGGCUCCAUUGCAUGGUACAAAUGCUCGACAUAAUCAUAGUCCUAGAGAGCUCCUUUAGUACUAACUCAUUUAGGGCUCGGAUUUGGAAUGUUAGCAAGGAUAAUUGCACGGUAGUGUGGAAUUGGACUUGCUUACAAGUUUGAGUAUGUGAGUGCAAUUGCUACUUACGUUGAAAUUAUUACCAUUGUGCAAGGUAUUAGUCCUGAAUUGAAAUCAUUUUUUUAAACUUAAAUAUGGUGGUUUAAGGCAGGAGGACAAGAAACGAAUCCAGGGAAAAGAGUUGAACAUGCAUCUGCUCUCACACUUGUAGAAGCAGCAAACAACCAAUAGUCGUUUCAUUUUAUUCGCUUCUCUUUUUCUUGUUCAAUAUUUUUGCUACUUCCCGGUAUCCACUCUAUGAUAUGGAUGCUGAUUGUAGUUAUAUGACUUGAUUUCACAGCAAUUUAGUAGGAUGAAGAAAAUUCUGACCAACCAUCUCAAACUGGCCUUGGAAGACUUUUUCACAUAGACUGAAUGCUGUCGGCAUCAUUACUUUUGAAUUAGGAAAUUUUCGGUCUAACUAAUUUUUGGCUUCCUAAAAUUUUCAACUAAAAAAAGCUGAUAUUGUGAAUGUGAAGGACUACAACCUUGGAAUGACUAUCUAGGGGGAGUUUUUUCUUUUUCUUUUUCCUAGCCCAUCUUCCCUUGAUUACAUCAUGUUGCUUCUACUAUUUGUAAGAAAUUGGUAGAUAAUUAGAAGUAUGUUGAUGUGUGUUAAAUGAGUUUUAAAUAUGAGGACUUGAGGAGUCAAUUGUUAAUAUUUUGGCUACCAACAUUCUAGAACAUAAGAAAAUAUCAUUGUGUAUCGAAUUGCAUAAGAUCAACUACCAUGCUGCACGUACUACUUUAUACAUGGGUCACAAGAAUUAAUUUAAGUAUCUGAGCUCAAUGAUGAUGUUGUUGAUGUCAAUAGUCAAGGGUGUUCAGCCAUCUAAUCUCGGUUAUCAUGUAACACAUACGAUUGUGAUGUAGUUUUGGAGUUUAUACUUAAAUAAUAGAUGAUGUGGUGGUUGUUCAGUCAUAUUGAAUGUUGCUUUUGAGAUUUUUUAAUUACUUACAGGAUCAACUGAAUGCAAGGAAUGAAGACCUAUUCUCUAGGUGCAUGUACAUAACCUUGAGCUAGAAAUUGCAGAAAUGGUAAGUUCAGAGGAGACAAUUGGCAUGUAUAUUUAAUGUGGAAGCAAAUUUUACUUCAAGUCUAGAGAAACUAGGAUUAGUUUUGGGGUUUCAAUUUUAUGCUUACAGACUAUAUUUUGACUAUUUAUAUGCAUAACUUUCAAUUUUUGGACUGGAUUUAGAUUUUUGCGCACAAACUUUUAUUUCUUCGUCAGGGUUUUUUGCUCGCAAAGUUUGAUUUCUAGAUUCAAAAUUUUUGGGUUAGGGUUUUGAUCAGACUUUGAUUUUUAGUUAGGGUUUUGAUUUUUGGUUUUAGUUUUUAAUUUUUGAUUAGCAUUUUUACUGUAUUUAUGUGUAUUCAGGUUUGGAUUAGUAGUUGAAUGGCAUAUAUUGUUGGCUACUGUUGGCUAUGAUGUGAAUUUCAUAUAUUGUUAGCUAUGAUGUUUAAAAAUCUGAGUCAAAAGGCAUAGAGUGCAGUUUGAAUGCAGUUUGUAGUGCAAUUUGAUGAAUGCAGUUUUUAGUAGACUUUGAAUGCAGUUUUAGUACACAUUGCUAUGACAGUGCAACUGUUGUUGUGUGUGUGUAUCCAAACUGUAGUUUUAUUCGAGAUUCGAGGCUGUUUUAGUGCAGUUUUUUGUGUAAUUUUACUGCAGUCUCUGUGGCAAUGAUGAUUGUCUGAGCUCACAAAUAUUUCUGUGUGUAUUGAGUUUGGUAGCUAUGUGCAAUGUUGGACACAGUUUUUUCCCUUCCCAAAAAGGGGUCCCUUUUUUAAAAAUUGGCCCCAAGAAUGCACCCUUACUCUCAAGGAUAGAUGGAAGCAUUGAUUUUAAAAGAUCAGUGUAUUGGAAAUCCUAUGAGGGUCAGUUAAGGAAUGGUACUAAGUUGGAGAUAAAUUAAUGAAUCUUUCGUGUAAAGACUGGUGAAGAUAUUAAUUUUGUAAGUCAUAUUAAGGUUUGAUGAUUGUAUUGUUUUACUCAUAAAUAAAGCAUGUGAAAAUGGAUUCUUUUCGAGCUGCAAACGCAUCAAUGCUUCUCAGGACAAAGAGCAGAUGGACAGCUUGCAGGAGAGGAAGGAGGCGUUUAAUAUGACUACUGCUAUUUAUGGCUAUUGCGAGUUUUACUGGUGUUAUGCUCCUUUAGCGUCUAUAAAUAGACUACGCUUAAUGUGGUCCGUAUGUUAAUCAUCUAAUGCUUUUGCUACUUUGAUUAAUCUAUGUAAUAUAUCUCCCUAGCUAUUUUCAUACUCUUCUAUUGCUUCUGGCUUUAAAAUUACAAAAAAGUCAUAUCUACCCUAUAUCGAAACUUGUUCUCUUCGACGCGCAUGCAUUCGUGAUAUGCACGAAGGUGAACCUAGCCUAUAUAUAAAGGAGCACUUUUUCAGAGGACAAUUUUUCCAAUUUGGGCCGAAUUUGUCUCUGGAUUGCAAACAGUGCAACCUUGGGCACUUGGGCAGUUUGGUCUUUUCGGCUGGUAUGCUAGGUGGCGUGUUCCGGGGGCUCUGGGGGAUGUGGCCUGUGUCUGCACCGUUCGCAGCUUCUCUGUUGUGUCGUGUAUAGCUGUGUACCAGUGUGUUGUGUUCUGCUUUUAGGCUUCCAGAUUCUUCUGUGCUGUCCUUCAGGUAUUGUUUUUGCUCUCUCUCUCCCCGUUGCCUGAGGUUUCGUCUUGUUGUUUUUGGAUAGCCACACCAGGACGACUUGAAAACAUGAAAGAGAGAGUGGGGGAUCAGUCGACCCCAUCAAAAGAACGAUGAGAACGACCGGAGGAAGCAAUGAGCACUCUCGUUCUGCCCGAUCACCUCUGUUGCCACCGUAACGACGGCAAGUUGUGGCGCUGCUGCGGUUGGAAGCUACAAGACAAAACCUACUGCGAAAAACACUUCUUCCACGACUUGAUCACCGAUUAACUGGUAUCUCUCUCAGCUUCUCGAUGAUGGGUUUCAUAUGCUUUUGUUUGAUUUUCUAUUUUGUUUGUUGAUCUGAUACCGACUGAUCUGAACAAGAGAACUCAGACCUAAUCCGGCAGGCGGUGAGACAGAAUGGGUUGGGAGAGCGGCGAGAGCCAACUCAGCCAUGAGGCUUGAUGGUGGACCAUAGUUCCUGUUUCCCCUGUUACAGGAAGUGCUGAAUUUCCUUUUAUUUUGGGGGUAUGCGAAGGUUUAUCUGUCUUUAUGUUGUGCUCUUAUCACUUUGGUUGUUGGAGCUUAUCUUCACAUCCUCUGGAAUAUUGGAGGUUUCCUCACGACCACAGAUUCUAUGGGAAGCUUGGUUUGGCUACUCUCAACCCCUCCAUACGAAGAGCUAAAAAUAUUCUGAUGGCGGUUAAAAAUAUUCUGAUGGUUCCUGGAUCAUCGCCGAGUACACUGACUUCAUGGCGAAUCUGACCAACAUCAAUGGAAGUCAAAUGGAUGAGGUUCAAAUGACCUUAAUUCGGGCUUCUUUUCAUUUUGGAUUAACAAUUGAAGUUUUGGGCAAUCGAAGUCGCUGAUAGAUGAUCAUGGCAAAAAAAAUGCCAAUCAAUUCCCAGAAGAAGGAUUAUAACGAGAGCCCUUCGGACUACAAUGGCAAGUCUUUUGCCCGUGUAGUGGCAACCUCAACUUGCAGCUGGUCACUAAUUCCUUGUUAUCACUGAAGAUUAUGUUUAAGAAGGAGUAUUUCUUCACAAGACCAGCGGGCAAUGUUUGUCUCCAAUUCCUUGGUGCAUCCAGCCUUAUUUGAGGCAAAUAGACCAGGCCCACUGAGUGUGGUAAUGUUUGGUAAGGUCUAAUUUUGAUGUUAUAAUUUGCUGGAAACUUGGGACUAUUGAGAUCAAGGAUGUGUGUUAAGGUUGGUAGGAAUGUGUAUCGGGUAAAUCGACUCUGAUGAUGAGGAUUAAUUUAUGCGUCUUCGCUACUUGUUUUUUAAGGUAGAUAGAGAGGAGAGUUAAAACUUUUUAUAGUUUAUUCAGUCCACAUGAACAUGGAAGUUUAAUGAUGUUUUUAGGUUUAGGACCAAAUAGGUAACAAAUCCAAAUGGCUGAUUUUAUCCACCAGUUUGAUCUGUUGUCUUUGUCGAUUAAAAAUAGAUACAACUUUAUGCGAUUAUUUAGCAGUGAUGACAUUAUA